UGGGUGACCUGCCCUCAGCUCUGGGAUAAGCCUGGGAAACUGGGUCUAAUACUGGAUAUUCACUUCUCAUCGCAUGGUGGGUGGUGGAAAGUUUUUUCGGCUGGGGAUGGGCCCGCGGCCUAUCAGCUUGUUGGUGGGGUGAUGGCCUACCAAGGCGACGACGGGUAGCCGGCCUGAGAGGGUGACCGGCCACACUGGGACUGAGACACGGCCCAGACUCCUACGGGAG
rnacentral:rRNA from 1 species